UACGUCGGGUGCAAGCGUUGUCCGGAAUUAUUGGGCGUAAAGAGCUCGUAGGCGGCUUGUCGCGUCGACUGUGAAAACCUGGGGCUUAACUCCGGGCCUGCAGCCGAUACGGGCAAGCUAGAGUUCGGUAGGGGAGACUGGAAUUCCUGGUGUAGCGGUGAAAUGCGCAGAUAUCAGGAGGAAUACCUAUGGCGAAAGCAGGCUGCUGGGCUAUCACUGACGCUGAUCUGCGAAAGCUAGGGGAGCAAACAGG
rnacentral:rRNA from 1 species